rnacentral:rRNA from 1 species
UAGGGAAUCUUCCGCAAUGGGCGAAAGCUUGACGGAGCAACGCCGCGUGAGUGAUGAAGGUCUUCGGAUCGUAAAACUCUGUUAUUAGGGAAGAACAAAUGUGUAAGUAACUAUGCACGUCUUGACGGUACCUAAUCAGAAAGCCACGGCUAACUACGUGCCAGCAGCCGCGGUAAUACGUAGGUGGCAAGCGUUAUCCGGAAUUAUUGGGCGUAAAGCGCGCGUAGGCGGUCAAUUAAGUCUGAUGUGAAAGCCCCCGGCUCAACCGGGGAGGGUCAUUGGAAACUGGUUGACUUGAGUGCAGAAGAGGAGAGUGGAAUUCCAUGUGUAGCGGUGAAAUGCGUAGAUAUAUGGAGGAACACCAGUGGCGAAGGCGACUCUCUGGUCUGUAACUGACGCUGAGGCUCGAAAGCGUGGGUAGCAAACAGG